UGGCAUACGGCUCAGUAACACGUAGUCAACAUGCCCAGGGGACGUGGAUAACCUCGGGAAACUGAGGAUAAACCGCGAUAGGUCACGAUUUCUGGAAUGAUUCAUGGCCCCAAAUCUAUAUGGCCCCUGGAUUGGACUGCGGCCGAUCAGGCUGUUGGUGAGGUAAUGGCCCACCAAACCUGUUACCGGUACGGGCUCUGAGAGGAGGAGCCCGGAGAUGGGCACUGAGACAAGGGCCCAGGCCCUAUGGGGCGCAGCAGGCGCGAAACCUCUGCAAUAGGCGAAAGCCUGACAGGGUUACUCUGAGUGGUUUCCGCUAAGGGAACCUUUUGGCACCUCUACAAAUGGUGCAGAAUAAGGGGUGGGCAAGUCUGGUGUCAGCCGCCGCGGUAAUACCAGCACCCCGAGUGGUCGGGACGAUUAUUGGGCCUAAAGCAUCCGUAGCCGGUCCUGCAAGUCUUCCGUUAAAUCCAGCUGCUCAACAGAUGGGCUGCGGGGGAUACUACAUGGCUAGGAGGCGGGAGAGGCAAGCGGUACUUUAUGGGUAGGGGUAAAAUCCGUUGAUCCAUAGAAGACCACCAGUGGCGAAGGCGGCUUGCCAGAACGCGCUCGACGGUGAGGGAUGAAAGCUGGGGGAGCAAACCGGAUUAGAUACCCGGGUAGUCCCAGCUGUAAACGAUGCAGACUCGGUGAUGGGCUGGCUUCGUGCCAACCCAGUGCCGCAGGGAAGCCGUUAAGUCUGCCGCCUGGGGAGUACGGUCGCAAGACUGAAACUUAAAGGAAUUGGCGGGGGAGCACCACAAGGGGUGAAGCCUGCGGUUCAAUUGGAGUCAACGCCGGGA
rnacentral:rRNA from 1 species